UAUCAGCCGAAGAAGGACGCGGUAAGCUGCGAUAAGCUACGGAGAGGUGCAAGCAACCUGUGACCCGUAGAUUUCCGAAUGGGGGAACCCGGCAGUGGUUAUGCACUGUCACCCAUAGCUUAGACUAUGAGGAGGGCACCUGGGGAACUGAAACAUCUAAUUACCCAGAGGAACAGUAAUCAAACGAGAUUUUCUUAGUAGCGGCGAGCGAAAGGGAAAGAGCCCAAACCGGAAACUUGUUUCCGGGGUUGUGGACAUAGCAUGAAAGUGGAGGCUAUUGUAACUGAAGAGAACUGGAAAGUUCCACCGUAGAAGGUAAUAGUCCUGUAAGUGAAACGAGAAGACCACGAGUUAUGAUCCAGAGUACCACGAGACACGUGAAACCUUGUGGGAAGCAGGGAGGACCACCUCCCAAGGCUAAAUACUACCUGAUGACCGAUAGUGAAGCAGUACCGUGAGGGAAAGGUGAAAAGAACCCCGGGAGGGGAGUGAAAUAGAACCUGAAACCGUGUGCCUACAACCGCUCAGAGCCCCUUAUGAGGGUGAUGAGGUGCUUUUUGUAGAACGAGCCAACGAGUUACGGUAUGUAGCAAGGUUAAGUACUUAAGGUACGGAGCCGAAGGGAAACCGAGUCUGAAUAGGGCGACUAGUUGCAUGCCGUAGACCCGAAACCGGGUGACCUAUCCAUGGCCAGGUUGAAGCGAGGGUAAAACCUCGUGGAGGACCGAACCACGUUGCUGUUGAAAAAGCAUGGGAUGAGCUGUGGAUAGCGGAGAAAUUCCAAUCGAACCCGGAGAUAGCUGGUUCUCUCCGAAAUAGCUUUAGGGCUAGCGUCGAGUAUGAGUAGUGGAGGUAGAGCACUGAAUGGGCUAGGGGGCAUAGCGCUUACCGAACCUUAUCAAACUCCGAAUGCCACAUACUUUGAGCUCGGCAGUCAGACUACGAAUGAUAAGAUCCGUGGUCAAAAGGGAAACAGCCCAGAUCGUCAGCUAAGGUCCCAAAGUGUAAGUUAAGUGGGAAAGGAUGUGAGAUUUCUAAGACAACUAGGAUGUUGGCUUAGAAGCAGCCAUUCAUUAAAAGAGUGCGUAAUAGCUCACUAGUCGAGAGAUCUUGCGCCGAAAAUGUAACGGGGCUAAACUUACCACCGAAGCUACGGGCUUGAACUUAUGUUCAAGCGGUAGGAGAGCGUCGUAACCGGGCUGAAGUCGUACCGUAAGGAGCGGUGGACUGGUUACGAGUGAGAAUGUUGGCAUCAGUAGCGAGAUGUGGGUGAGAAUCCCACAGGCCGAAAACCUAAGGUUUCCUCAGGAAGGUUCGUCCGCUGAGGGUUAGUCGGGACCUAAGCCGAGGCCGAAAGGCGUAGGUGAUGGACAACUGGUUGAUAUUCCAGUACCACUACCAUCGUUAUUAUUGAUGGCGUGACGCAGGAGGAUAGUGUGUGCUAGCUAUUGGAUGCUAGUCUAAGCGUUUAGGCAGUGAGAGUAGGCAAAUCCGCUCUCAUAAUGCUGAGGCGUGAUGGGGAAGGUUCUACGGAACCGAAGUACAUGAUUCCACGCUGCCAAGAAAAGCGUCUAGAGAGAGAAGUAGUGCCCGUACCGCAAACCGACACAGGUAGGUGAGGAGAGAAUCCUAAGGCCGGCGGAAGAAUUACAGUUAAGGAACUCGGCAAAUUGACCCCGUAAGUUCGCGAGAAGGGGUGCCUACGAGAGUAGGCCGCAGAGAAUAGGCCCAAGCAACUGUUUAGCAAAAACACAGGUCUCUGCUAAAGCGUAAGCUGAUGUAUAGGGGCUGACGCCUGCCCGGUGCUGGAAGGUUAAGGGGAACACUUAGCGCAAGCGAAGGUGUGAACUUAAGCCCCAGUAAACGGCGGCCGUAACUAUAACGGUCCUAAGGUAGCGAAAUUCCUUGUCGGGU
rnacentral:rRNA from 1 species